CAAUCAGAUAUCUCCCUUUUUUUAGCCAAUCACAAGAACGCACCCCACGUGGGGGAUUGUUUACUUAUUAGCCAAUUGAGAAUGAGGAGGUGUUGUCACGGCACAGCGCCCCACCCCCAGAGAUCCCCCUUCCUCCAUUUUGAACUGCUCAUGUUCAUUGUUUAUGUUGGUUGCGGAGGUCUUUAUUCUAGAGACGUCAGAUUUAUCGGGUGGCUGCAAUUAGAAGAAAGGACUUUACUUUUGACCUAAUCUCCCAGUCGAUGGGAGUGUGUUCUCUGCAUAUUUAUUCGGGGACUAAGGAACAAACGGAGGCUGCACUAGCAUCACCAGAAGGGAGAGAUGUGGAGUAGAGGGAAAGCAAAAGAUGUUGAAUAGAUUAUUUGCUAUAUUAGAGAUUGCCAUUCAAAAAAUAAAUGCAUCAAAUUAA